rnacentral:rRNA from 1 species
GACGAACGCUGGCGGCGUGCCUAAUACAUGCAAGUCGAGCGAGCUUGCCUAGAUGAAUUUGGUGCUUGCACCAAAUGAAACUAGAUACAAGCGAGCGGCGGACGGGUGAGUAACACGUGGGUAACCUGCCCAAGAGACUGGGAUAACACCUGGAAACAGAUGCUAAUACCGGAUAACAACACUAGACGCAUGUCUAGAGUUUAAAAGAUGGUUCUGCUAUCACUCUUGGAUGGACCUGCGGUGCAUUAGCUAGUUGGUAAGGUGACGGCUUACCAAGGCAAUGAUGCAUAGCCGAGUUGAGAGACUGAUCGGCCACAUUGGGACUGAGACACGGCCCAAACUCCUACGGGAGGCAGCAGUAGGGAAUCUUCCACAAUGGACGCAAGUCUGAUGGAGCAACGCCGCGUGAGUGAAGAAGGGUUUCGGCUCGUAAAGCUCUGUUGGUAGUGAAGAAAGAUAGAGGUAGUAACUGGCCUUUAUUUGACGGUAAUUACUUAGAAAGUCACGGCUAACUACGUGCCAGCAGCCGCGGUAAUACGUAGGUGGCAAGCGUUGUCCGGAUUUAUUGGGCGUAAAGCGAGUGCAGGCGGUUCAAUAAGUCUGAUGUGAAAGCCUUCGGCUCAACCGGAGAAUUGCAUCAGAAACUGUUGAACUUGAGUGCAGAAGAGGAGAGUGGAACUCCAUGUGUAGCGGUGGAAUGCGUAGAUAUAUGGAAGAACACCAGUGGCGAAGGCGGCUCUCUGGUCUGCAACUGACGCUGAGGCUCGAAAGCAUGGGUAGCGAACAGG